AUUGAACGCUGGCGGCAGGCCUAACACAUGCAAGUCGAACGAGUGGCGCACGGGUGUGUAAUGUCUGGGAAACUGCCUGAGGGAGGGGGAUAACUACUGGAAACGGUAGCUAAUACCGCAUACCCUCGGAAGUGCCCAGAUGGGAUUAGCUAGUAGGUGGGGUAAAGGCUCACCUAGGCGACGAUCCCUCGCUGGUCUGAGAGGAUGACCAGCCACACUGGAACUGAGACACGGUCCAGACUCCUACGGGAGGCAGCAGUGGGGAAUAUUGCACAAGGGGCGCAAGCCUGAUGCAGCCAUGCCGCGUGUAUGAAGAAGGCCUUCGGGUUUUAAAGUACUUUCAGCGGGGAGGCGUUACCCGCAGAAGAAGCACCGGCUAACUCCGUGCCAGCAGCCGCGGUAAUAC
rnacentral:rRNA from 1 species